rnacentral:lncRNA from 1 species
GAGAAAACACUUCCAUUUUUCUAGAUAGAGCUUUGAGCCGCAACAUCCGCCUUCCGCUCUUGCAAUGGCUUCCAGCUCCGUGCUUAAGAUGGCCGCCAUUUUCGUGCUGGCCGUAUUCGCCGGCCAGGCACUGAUGGCUACGCUGGCGAUGGCAGAAGGACUAGGUUACCGACACAACCUUUUGGAGAAGUACGAUGAGACGCAAUGUCGCGGAUACGCCACAUGCAAUAUUGUAUGCUUCUACCAAGUUUUUCAAGUCUGCAUCAUCUACAGCCCUGUUGCAUUCUGCAACACUUGGGCGUUUGGGUUCUGCAAGGACAAGAGAUACUGAGGCAUAAAUAGCAGUGCAGCUCCUUUUGGGAUGCAUGCACAACUACACGAGCAACUCACCUCAUCAGUGUCAACUAUUAUUGUUCCUUCGUUAUUGGCGCUGUGCGUCGUAAGAGUCCUAAUAUGUUCCUCCCUUUAUUUCCAACUAUCAUGUAUCAGUGGCUUAACCAACUAUUUAAUUCCUAUAUUGUCUGUCAUCAUGGUACUUGUUCAACUAAAAAUCCCCCAUCGAAUACAAAUGUAUGUGUCGUGUGACUAUAAAAUGGUUCCGCCACUGCAACAUUUUUCAGUCCAUGAUGGCCAUAUAAGCAUGCUCUUUCCACCCUUACCCAUGAAUCUUUUUUCAUGAAUGACCAUUCGUUUGACAGAUUUGGCAUGUGGUUCGACAAAAUGCCAUAAAAAAUAAAGGAUGCAAAAAUAUAAUAAGGGAGCUUGAAGCUGAAUUGGCACUAACCUUGUAAAUACUUUUCGUAGUGGACAAGACAAAUACUACAUAGGCCAUCGCCACACCCAGUUUCGCACGAUCAUCGCAGAUGAUGCGAUGUUUGACAACAUAUACAUUCUAAAGGACACUCAGGGCCCGCAAGGCAUAGAGGGGGAGGUCAUAAGCACCUAUACCGUAAAAUAGAUUUUUGACGGAAUCAAAAAGACAUAUCUGGUAGAAUCGUAACCAUAGAAUACGACCCUAAUCGAAAUGCAUACAUUUGUCUCAUAGGGUGACCAGCGUUGCUUCCAUGUUAAUCCGGGCCCAUAGGGUACGGAAGUUUCUCCUUCUGUGAGUCCCUAUCACGUGGAACCCACAUCAACUGCCGUGAUUGCAUUGGCUUUCAGGGACCGAAUACAUCGAAUCGGGGUUUUCGAGCGGUCUCUCCUUAUUUACCUUGAGUACCCCAAACCCAUUGAGGUCACUUGCUGACGCUCUCUAGUAGUCGUCCAGGUGCUUGGGUCAUCCUUCUUCUGGCUAGUCGCUUUGGCAUCGAUCCUUUGGACAUUUGCUUCAAUCCCCCAAGAACGUCUUUCACUGCCCCUACCACAGAUGCUACCGAAAAGAGUUCCGACAUUGAGCAAGUAUUUUCUUGGACUAUCCCGAUCAAACAUCUCUCAUGCCUCAUUCUACCUUUGAAAACUGAAAUUAUAUCCAGGUACGAUAGAUCCGUGGGAAGUCAUUCCUUUGCCUCAGAAAUCCGCAAUUCCCAGAUGAAAAAUCCUAUUUCAAGCUCCUCUAGUUUCUUAAACCAGCACUGUUUCCUUUUCCAGCAGGGAUACUCCUGAAAAAGGGCUUCCGUUCAAAGUGGAAAGAAAGAGACCUGUCCGUUCUCCCUAUUUGCCUAGCGGUUAAGUAGAAUGUAGGGCCCCUCCUAGGCCACGCAACCAAGAGUCACUUGUCGAAAGUUGACCAGGAAGACAAUAACUAUCGAGGCUGGAAUUGAUAGAUGAAACUCUAAAAUGUUUCACCUUCUUCUAUGGUCAUUCUUAUUUUCAUGAAGCUCACAUGUAAGCUUCGUCAGGCUUGUGGACAUCACAACGCCCAUUCACAUGUAUCUCUUCAACAUGCAAGCACUUCGUUAGGGCCGCUGUUUUUUUGGAAGUGGGUUCACUGUUUACGCCUCCAUGGAAUCUGGCUAGCUCGAAGAGUCCCCAGAUGACGUCGAGUUGCUCCUAGCACCCAGCUAGGCAUGAUCUAUGGUUCUCUCCUCAUUCCCAGUGAUGUGAUAAAUGAUUGGGACCGUUCACCUAGAACGGAAAAUCAUUGAAGGGGACUGAGGAAGGAGUUGGGCGUUUCCUAACUUCCAUUGCCAGAGUGGUUUUUUUACACCAGGGGAUGUUCCACCUACAUUGCACCCAUGAUAAUCACUAAAAUCGACAAAAAAUAUCUAAAUAAUUUGAAUUUGCGGGCUCGGCUGUGACCAAUUGUUUAGGGUGCUUAUUUGGUGGCCAAAUGACAUCCGAGGAGCUCUUUACAUAAAAAAUAUAUCAAAUUUUGUCCUGAAAGUUAUGUAAGCAUAGUUUGAGCAGAAGUUGUAUUUUGUAUAUAUGAAGCUCAUUUGAUACUAUUUGUUCACCAAACUAUGCGAGCACCUAAAACACUUGUUCAAUAAUGCCCCAAAGUUUUUUUUUUCUAUUUGUUAUGAUUUACUCUUCAGCGUGGGUAAAUUGCACUUUGGUGUAGCCACAACUUUUCCUUCCCAUCCCGCAUAUCUGAUGGUAGCAAGCUCGGUGUACAUCUUCACCCAUGGUGAGUAAACAACUCCUUGGUUGGCCGCUCCACCUAGAUAUGUGUCGCCAAAAGCAACUCCAGAUGUUCCUGUAGCUGAAGUGACGACCAGAUCUGAACCCCGUGGAUACUUGAACAUAUAACUUUGAGAGGAGAAUAUAUCUUCUUUCAUCAAAUAUCACAUUAUUUCUACGUAACUACACUGACUAUCAAAUUUUGCAUUCGUUAUAUAUUUCUCUCAAAUUUUGCUAAAACCAAAAUAUUUUUUUAAUACACAUGAAAUUUCCAUGUAACAAUUUGCGUAAAACAUCAUCUACACAACUAAUGAAUCAACUGGGAUGCAACAUGCAUACAUCUAAUUAGCUCGUGGUAAUUGUUUAAAUAUGUCAAGUUCAAUCAAUGAAUCUUUUUUCAUGAAUGACCAUUCGUUUGACAGAUUUGGCAUGUGAUUCGACACAAUGCCAUAAGAAAUAAAGGAUGCAAAAAUAUAAGGGAGCAUGAAGCUGAAUUGGCACUAACCUUGUUAAUAUUUUUCGUAGUGGACAAGACAAAUACUACACAGGCCAUCGCCACACCCAGUUUCGCUAGCUCAUCGCAGAUGAUGCGAUGUUUGACAACAUAUACAUUCUAAACGGACACUCAAGGCCCAUAGGGUGACCAGCGUUGCUUCCAUGUUAAUAUGGGCCCAUAGGGUAUGAAAGUUUUUCUUCUGUGAGUCCCUAUCAUGUGGAACCCACGUCAGCUGUCGUGAUUGCGUUGGCUUUCAGCGACCGAAUACAUCGAAUCGGGGUUUUCGAGCAUUCUCUCCUUAUUUACCUUGAGUACCCCAAACCCAUUGAGGUCGCCUGCCGACGCUCUCUAGUAGUCGUCCAGGUGCUUGGGACAUCCUUCUUCUGGCUAGAGUCGCUUUGGCAUCGAUCCUUUGGACAUUUGGUUCAAUCCCCCAAGAGCGUCUAUCACUGCCCCUACCGCAGAUACUACCGAAAAGAGUUCUGGCAUUGAGCGAGCAUUUUCUUGGACUAUCCUGAUCAAACAUCUCGCAUGCCUCAUUCUACCUUUGAAAACUGAAAUUUUAUCCAGGUACAAUAGAUCCGUGGGAAGUCAUUCCUUUGCCUCAGAAACCCGCAAUUCCCAGAUAGAAAAUCCUAUUUCCCGCUCCUCUAGUUUCUUAAACCAGCGCUGUUUCUAUUUCCAGCAGGGAUACUCCCGAAAAAAGGGCUUUCAUUCAAAGUGGAAAGAAAGAGACCGGUUUGUUCUCCCUCUUUGCCUAUCAGUUAAGUCGAUUGUAGGUCCCCUCCCAGGCCUCGCAACCAAGAGUCACUUGUCGAAAGUUGACCAGGAAGACAAGAACUAUCGAGCCUGGAAUAGAUAGAUGAAACUCUAAAAUGUUUCACCUUCUUCUAUGGUCAUUCUUAUUUUCAUGAAGUUGAAAUUGUGCUCGCACAUGUAAGCUUAAUCAGGUUUGUGGACGUCACAACCCCGAUUGUCCUGUAUCUCUUCAACAUGCAAGCACUUCGUUAGGGCUGGUGUUUUUUUUUGGAAGUGGGUUCACUGUUUACGCCUCCAUAGAAUCCGGCUAGCUCAAAGAGUCCCCAGAUUACGUCGAGUUGCUCCUGGCACCUUGCUAGGCACGAUCUAUGGUUUUCUCCUCAUUCCAGUGAUGUCAUAAAUGAUUGGGACCGUUCACCUAGAACGGAAAAUCAUUGAAGGGUAGUGAGGAAGGAGUUGGGCGUUUCCUAACUUCCAUUGCCUACACCAGGGGACGUUCCACUUACAUUGCACCCAUGAUAAUCACUAAAGUCGAAAAAAUAGCUAAAUAAUUUGAAUUUGCGGGCUCGGCUGCGACCAAUUGUUUAGUGUGCUUAUUUGGUGGCCAAAUGACAUCCGAGGAGCUCUUUACAUAUAAACAUAUCAAAUUUGGUCCUCAAAGUUAUGUACGCAUAGCUUGAGCAAAAGUUGUAUUUUGUAUAUAUGAAGCUCAUUUGAUAAUAUUUGGUCACCAAACUAUGCAAGCACCUGAAACACUUGUUCAAUAAUGCCCCAAAGUUUUUUUCUAUUUUUUAUGAUUUUACUCUUUAGCGUGGGUAAAUUGCACUUCGGUGUAGCCACAACUUUUCCUUCCCUUCCCGCAUCUCUGAUGGUAGCAAGCUCGAGGUACCGGUCAGGAGUUUUUAGCUGGAAGGAUGUGGCGAUCGUGACUCCAAGGUCAUAUCUAUCCAGGGGUACUAUUCUGGGGACAAAGCCAUUAGGAGUUGCUUUUGACCGUGAUCCUUUUGACCAGUUAUCGCAAUGCCCAAACUUUGCUACAUUAACAUACAUGAAUUUGUAUGACAGUGGGAAGUAACAUCGAAUUAUGAAAAUGAUACAGGGAGACAAUCUUCCCCUUUCGGCCCCCACGAUGCAAAUAACAACCUUACUCCUACUUGUCUAGAAUUAUAUGUAUCAACAGGUAUAGUGUGUGUGAGGGGGUGAGGGGGAUCCUGCAAGCCUUGUACACUAGGUUUCUAGCACAUUUGGUGACCAGUCUUGACCAGAUGUGCAAGUUCAGAUCUAGUCUAGGCCUGAAGCUAGGGCUUCCAUUCAGUCAUCUUGGCCCUCCAAGCAGAAGUUGUCACCUCUUGUUCAGGUGCUAAUGUAUUUAUAAAUGGUUUGGGGUCAGAUGGACGCCUUCCUUUCCUAGCCUUCCGUUCGUGAAAAGCUUUAUAAUUCCACUGUCAUGACAUGUCCUCCCUCCUUUAAAGGAGUUCCUGGGGGACCCGUCAUCCUAAUUUCACUGCUAGGAGUGACCCUCCGUGGGAGUUGGUUUGACAUUCAUGAAAGUUUCCUUCAGGCUUACACGGCUUGGCAUGGGCCCGAUCCACCACUUUCCAAAAACAUAUGACCUACCCGUAUACUACACCUUCACCCAUGGUGAGUAAACAACCCCUUGGUUGCCCGCUCCACCAGAUACGUGCUGCCAAAAGCAACUCCUGAUGUUCUGUAGCUGAAGUGAUGACAAGAUCUGAACCCGGUGGAUACUUGAGCAGAUAACUUGGAGAGGAGAAUAUAUCUUCUUUCUUAAAAUUUUGCAUUCGUUAUAUAUUUCUCUCAAAUUUUUCUAAAACUAAUUUUUUUAGUACAAAUGAAAUUUCCAUGUAACAAUUUGCGUAAAACAUCAUCUACACAACUAAUGAAUCAACUGGGAUGCAACAUGCAUAUAUCUAAUUAGCUCGUGGUAUUAUUUAAAUAUGUCAAGUUGAAUCAAUGAUAAAUAAAUAGAAAUAAGAAAUUAACUAUAAAAUAUUUCAAUAUUAAUUAAUGUGGAUGACAGGCAUAAUGUAACCAUGACUCCCUGACAGGUAGGUAGUACAAACGGCAGGGUUGAUUUUAUAUCCGUGUGUUGCUUCUGAUAAUUUACCUGUCGGCAAACAAAAAGAAUAAUGAUAGAUCAAACUAUGUGCUUUUGGUUAGCAGCAUACGCGAAACACAGUUGAAGAACUGUAAUGAUGGUAUGCCAUGAGAUGCUUUCCUAGGUGAGUAAUUUAUGAUCUCGAGAUGCCCUUCACACACUUACCUAAGUUGACAACUAACUCUAUAAUGCCAUUAAGACUUGAACACUAUUGUUUUAUACUAUUUUCGACUUAAUAUUGAAUCUUGGUGCCAUGGUGAUAGUAUAUUUUAGACUCGGAUCAUGGCAUACACAAGGAUCAUCUAUCGAUUAUUAAUUAAGUGCUAAAUUAUGUGGUGGCAAUAUAUGGACCUAGCUGGCUUGAGAUUUGCUACAUGCAGGGGAGUACGACAACAUCAAUUAUAUCAUGCAUGAUGAGAUUGAGCUUACACAAACUUGUAUUAUCAUGCGUCUACUUUUGAAAUAUACAUAAAAAGGAAGUAAAAUUUGUAGGAAAAAUUAUUGGCUGGUCAAAUAAUUUCAUUCUUCUGGAAUGUAUGACCAUAUUAAUAAUGAAGUACUUGAUUAGACUAACGCUUCUACUGAACCCUCACAGGUAAACGCCAUGAUGGUGUUGCAUCUACCCUUAUAUGCUUAUGUCUGGAACACAUGCUCUGCUUUUGGAUUUAUCUCCAUAAAAAAUACACUAUUCGAGGAAUCGUCAGAGUUUUCCCCGGGGUUAAAGUUUAUACUGAAAUUUGUAAUUUUGAUUAGCAGUAUAAGGGUCGGUAAAAUGCCAUUCAAGAUAUGUAUUGACGGUAACGCGCAAGGCUCUCUCAUAGGUGUGUAAUUUAUGAUCUUAAGAUGCUCUAUGCGCUCGUGGUUGUUUGGUUAAAUAAAAUUAGCCAUGAGUUUAUGGAAAAUUAGUUGUUAGCUGGUUUUUAGUAAAAUCCUUUUUGCUAGCAGUUUUGUGAAUAAUCAGUAUAGGAAAAAUAGUGUUAGGGAUUAGGAAACUGUAAAGACGGACAUGCAUUUACUUGUUUGGAUAAAAUUCCAUAUUCCUCUCUCUGUGAGUUGUGGAAGGAGGAUGGCAAGAAAAAAGUUUGGGGCGUGAGGAAGUUAGUUAGGAUCCCGUAUUGCUAUUGCGUUAAAAAAAACAAAUAGUAGUUUUUCUACAAAUGUAAAAUCGUGAGUUUACUUGAAAAAAGGUCUUCAUAUACGCGGGUUAGUUAGAAUAGCGAAGAAAGAUUCUAAUCGGUUAGACAGUUUUUCAAGUUUAUAGGAAUUGCGUUUUGUAUAUACUAUCUAUCCUACCAACCCUAGCUAAGUUGUGAACUCUAUAACGCCAUCAAUACUUGAACGUACUACAGUUCUGUCUUGUUUGGACUCCCGACUGAAUCAUGGUAGUUGUACAUUUUUUACUCAGUGCAUGUCACACACACCAUGAUUAUCUACUGAUUGUUAAGUGCUAGGUAUGUGUUGACAAGAUAUCCAACUAGUUGGCUUGAUAUUGGGUACAUGCAGGGGAGUACUCCAAAGUCAACUAUAUAUCAUGAUGGGAUCAAGCAUACAUAAACAUGUAUUAUCAUGCAUGUUCGUAUGAUAGUGCAGUAUCAGCUCUGAGAUCAUGAAUGGCAAACUGGAGGGGCUAAUUUAUGAGUGCGCGUGCUUAUAAAUAGGGUCUCUAGCUAGCUAGUACUCACAUCAACACAAGCACGAGAAAACACUUCCAUUUUUCUAGAUAGAGCUUUGAGCCGCAACAUCCGCCUUCCGCUCUUGCAAUGGCUUCCAGCUCCGUGCUUAAGAUGGCCGCCAUUUUCGUGCUGGCCGUAUUCGCCGGCCAGGCACUGAUGGCUACGCCGGCGAUGGCAGAAGGACUAGGUUACCGACACAACCUUUUGGAGAAGUACGAUGAGACGCAAUGUCGCGGAUACGCCACAUGCAAUAUUGUAUGCUUCUACCAAGUUUUUCAAGUCUGCAUCAUCUACAGCCCUGUUGCAUUCUGCAACACUUGGGCGUUUGGGUUCUGCAAGGACAAGAGAUACUGAGGCAUAAAUAGCAGUGCAGCUCCUUUUGGGAUGCAUGCACAACUACACGAGCAACUCACCUCAUCAGUGUCAACUAUUAUUGUUCCUUCGUUAUUUACGCUGUGCGUCGUAAGAGUCCUAAUAUGUUCCUCCCUUUAUUUCCAAUUAUCAUGUAUCAGUGGCUUAACCAACUAUUUAAUUCCUAUAUUGUCUGUCAUCAUGGUACUUGUUCAACUAAAAAUCCCCCGUCGAAUACAAAUGUAUGUGUCGUGUGAUUAUAAAAUGGUUCCGCCACUGCAACAUUUUUCAGUC